rnacentral:rRNA from 1 species
UACGUAGGGUGCAAGCGUUAAUCGGAAUUACUGGGCGUAAAGCGUGCGCAGGCGGCUUUGCAAGACAGAUGUGAAAUCCCCGGGCUCAACCUGGGAACUGCAUUUGUGACUGCAUGGCUGGAGUGCGGCAGAGGGGGAUGGAAUUCCGCGUGUAGCAGUGAAAUGCGUAGAGAUGUGGAGGAACACCGAUGGCGAAGGCAGCCCCCUGGGCUAACACUGACGCCUCAUGCACGAAAGCGUGGGGAGCAAACAGG